AUAUAGAUGAGUUUGGUGAUGGCUCUGAUUGAACGCUGUCUAAGUGCUUGACACAUGCUAAUCGUACGAUUAAUACAGUCAAAAAAAACUAAAUUAAUAGUGGUGUACAGGUGAGUAUAAGAUAUUUUUGCCGACCUUAAAGGAAGAGGAUGGUAAAAUCUCUUAUAAACAAAAGGGUUAUACCGCUUUAAGAGGAUGAGAAAUACCAUAGAGAGAGGUAGUUGUUAAAGUAAUGUUUUGGCUAGCCGCAGAUUCUCUUAGUCGGAGCUGAAAGGUUGAUCGACCACAUUGGGCCUGAAAAAAUCCCAAUGCAAAAACGUACAGCAGUGAGGAAUAUUGGUCAAUGGCCUAACGGCCGAACUGGCAACUUAGGGAAACGGGUAAUAUAUCUUAAUAUAUAAUAAAGUUUAUAUAUUAAUUAUUAAUAGGCAAUAGUUGUGAAGUUUUGUCUACAUGUUGAUAAUGACAAUGUGUAUAAACAGUCUCGACUAAUUACGUGCCAGCAGUCGCGGUAAUACGUAAGAGACAAGCGUUAUUCAUCCUAAAUAGGUUUAAAGGGUACACAGACGGUCAAAUUGGCUUUAUUUGAAGUAGUUUUUGGCUAGAGUUUUUUAUCAGAGAGGGUAGUACUUUUAAGCGGAAAGUUGAUAUUUUUUGAUGCUAUAGGGACUGGUAAAGGCGAAGGCAGCCUUUUAGGUAAAAACUGACGUCGAAGGACGAAGGCUUAGAUAACGAACAGGAUUUGGCACCCUAGUAGUCUUUGCAGAAAAUGAUGAAUGCCAUAGGGUAGAUUUACAAUCUCUACUAUAAAUGAAAGUGUAAGCAUUUCACCUCAAGAGUAAGACGGCAACGUAGGAACUGUGAAAUCACUAGACCGUUUCUGACUUCAGCAGUGAAGUAUGUUAUUUAAUUCGAUAAUCCACGAAAAAUCUUACCAUAGUUUGAAUAGUUUAAAUAGAGAAAAUUUUUAAGCUACAGGAGUUGCACGGCUGUUUCCAGUUAAUAUUGUGAAAUAAAUUGAUAAAUUAACGAAAUCCCUCGCUUUAUUUUUAAAAACAUUUUAGGAUGUUAUUAUUAUGUUUAAACUUUUUUUAAAUAUAGUUCCUAUCUGUAUUAUUAUGCAUAAUACCAUAUUAGUAUAGGUAGGUAUUUAAUAAGGUUACACUGUAAAAGGGAACAAGACAAGUCAUCAUGGCCCUAAUAUUAUGGGCUAUAGACGUGCCACAUAUUUCUAGACAAAAAGAUGCAAAAAUGUGAGUUUGAGCUAAUCUUUAAAAUAGAAUAUAAACAUAUGGAUUGUAGUCUGAAAUUCGACUAUAUGAAUAAGUAAUUGCUAGUAAUCGCGAAUCACCAUGUCGCGGUGAAUCGAACCUCGGAUUGGUACUAACCACUCGUCACAUGCUGAAAGAAGUUUCAUCGCAAUAAGUUUGCUCUUUUGAUACAAUGCUGUUAUUAUUUGAAUUUAAUUUCUUGUAUUGGAAUUCACCGCAUGCGUGGCUUUAAUUAGUGUUAAGUCGAAAUACGGUUCGGGUAGUGGAAGUUGCCCGGGAUUUAUUAACUAAAA
rnacentral:rRNA from 1 species